AUGAAACAAGCAAUUUCCUUCUGCUUUAGGGAAAUUUUAAAGAACAACUUGAAGAGCUUUYAUUUGUUAUGGAAACAAGCUUGAUAUUUCAAAGAUUUCAGAGACUAGUUCACAGUGGAUUCGGGGUUCGGCAGAAGCAGCUCUACACAGGCUACAGUUUCCAGGCUACUAAUACACUGCACAGUAUUCAUAUUUACGGAUCACUAUAUGCCUCGCCUUCAAGGACACGGUUAAACUUUUGAUCAAAGUAUCCAUCUUGUCGUGCACAUCGAACCUUGCUUCCGCCUGGGAGUACUUGUUUUCCUUUGUGAGCCGAAGUAUUAAAGCCUAAAAAAAUUUUUUCAAAA